GUGUUCUGAAACACUACAACAAAAGACUGUCUAAUUCUUUUUUACAUUAGUCUAUCGACUAGAGGCUCCUCACCUUGGAGACCUGUUGCGGAUAUGGGUACGAACCUGCGCGACACCUCAUAUUACAUAUCUUGCAUUCAGAAAUGUUGUUAUUUUAUCUGAGAUUUGGGUAUCUCAUAGUGGUGAAGGUGUCAGUUGAAUCAGUAGUGUUCUGGAUUGUAUGUGACCGAUGAUACUGCAUGGAGUCACGACCCCGAAGAUAAGAUUUUUGUGGUGUUUGGGAAAAGUCUACUAUUUUCAGAAAAUAAAGUCACCUUUUCUUCAAGUCAAAAUAUUGACAGGUUUUUUAUUAUUUCUCUGUUUCAAGAUUAAUGACAGCACUUACUACUGAACCUAGGAUCUUUUGUAUACUAAACUAAUACUAUAAGCAGUAGAAUAAUUUAUAUAGUGACUUAGGAAAGAUUCCUUUUCGUUAAAUAGUGCCAGUUUCACCUCUGAGUCAGUGCUUGACUGGACUUGAAAGUUAGUAAUUCAACUUUUAUUUUGUGCUUUUGAAAUGUUUCUUAUAGGUGUCCCUUGCGUGAAGCUGUGCAAGUAACAGCUGAUUUGGUGCACAGCUUACAGUUCAACUAUCAGACCCUUUCACGAUUGGAAGGAUGCACUGGACCAGAUGUAUGUUAUGUUGAACAGGCUCAAGACACACUUGCACAUAUUCAAAAGCUUGGUAUUCCAGCUGUAGCUGUCAAAUGGUAAACAAUGAUGUUAAAUAAAUAUGCACUUUAAUAACA